GCACUCUGGGCACUGGCAUGCUAGCUUCUCCUUGCACUCAUCCACAUCUUCACAAUUGCGGACUCCAUCGCCUUUAAAUCCUGGAGGGCACUUGCAGCCCUUUGUAUGGUCAUCAGAACAGGCAGAGUAAGUUCUUCCAUCUUGGGUGCCCUUCCAACAACCCCCAUUAUUUAUUUCACAGCGUAAAGCUCCUGACGGUUCACAGUGAGUAUAGCCAUCUCCAAUGAACUUCACACCUCGAACAGUAGGACAUUCACAAACUCUUCCUCGAAAUGUAUCCCUGCAUGCAGAAACAUUUGCAUCCUUAUUGUGCCAGCAACCACCAUUAUUUGUUAAACACUCAUUUGUUUCCACGUCUUCAGUUAAACAAAUUGCAGGC
rnacentral:misc_RNA from 1 species